CCUUGACGAGCCCCUAGCUAGAUCUCUCUCUCUAUAUCUAUAUAAAGAGGAAAAUUUUGAAGGACAAGGAGAAAAUAAAGGAGAAGUUAGAGAUAGAGAUAGAUCGUGGCUGAUGCGAACAAAACAAGCUGGGAAAUGUUUGACAAAUUCAUCUUUAACACGGACUUCUUUCACCGCAGAUUGGGGUGCUGAUGAGGGAUAUGAUGAUGAUUGUGGGAAGGUAAACUGCUGCUGCUGAUGUUCAUCGGUUCUUAUCACUCGAGUAAGAGCAGUAACCAUGGCCGUCAUAUCAUCUGAUUCAGGCCAUGAAGCUGCUGCUGCUGCUAAUUUACUCUUCUCCUCCGAUGUUUCGGAUGGAAGCGGACGUUUUCCAUGUCUUCGAUCCACCUUUUCUUUCCCAGAAAAAAGCUAAUAAAACUAUGUAAAGAUGAUUGAGAUUAAGACAGGAGCGGAUCAAAGACAGUGAGGGUGCAAAAUUAUUUGGGGCUAAAUCUAUAUAAUGGGGGAUACGGGGGAGGAUGUUUUGGAAGAGGACAUUUUCGGGUUUUACUGGAUCGGACUUCUUCCGGAUUUCUCUUUUUAUCUCUCAAUUUAUAAGAAUAAAUAAAAAUUACUAAAUACAUAUUUUAGUGUUUAAA